AGAACGAACGCUGGCGGCAGGCCUAACACAUGCAAGUCGAACGCCGUAGCAAUACGGAGUGGCAGACGGGUGAGUAACGCGUGGGAACAUACCCCUCGGUUCGGAAUAACUCAGGGAAACUUGAGCUAAUACCGGAUACGUCCGAGGUCUUGAUCGACCUUGGAGAAAGAUUUAUCGCCGGAGGAUUGGCCCGCGUCUGAUUAGCUUGUUGGUGAGGUAAUGGCUCACCAAGGCGACGAUCAGUAGCUGGUCUGAGAGGAUGAUCAGCCACAUUGGGACUGAGACACGGCCCAAACUCCUACGGGAGGCAGCAGUGGGGAAUAUUGGGACAAUGGGCGAAAGCCUGAUCCAGCCAUGCCGCGUGAGUGAUGAAGGCCUUAGGGUUGUAAAGCUCUUUACCCGGGAAGAUAAUGACGGUACCGGAGAAUAAGCCCCGGCUAACUUCGUGCCAGCAGCCGC
rnacentral:rRNA from 1 species